AGAGUUUGAUCCUGGCUCAGGAUGAACGCUAGCGGGAGGCCUAACACAUGCAAGUCGAACGGGAUUGGGAGCUUGCUCCCAUGAGAGUGGCGCACGGGUGAGUAACGCGUAUGCAACCUACCUUUAACAGAGGGAUAGCCCAUAGAAAUGUGGAUUAAUACCUCAUAGUUCUGAGAAUCCGCAUGGUUUUUCAGAUAAAGCUCCGGCGGUUAAAGAUGAGCAUGCGUCCCAUUAGCUAGUUGGUAAGGUAACGGCUUACCAAGGCGACGAUGGGUAGGGGUCCUGAGAGGGAGAUCCCCCACACUGGUACUGAGACACGGACCAGACUCCUACGGGAGGCAGCAGUGAGGAAUAUUGGUCAAUGGGCGCAAGCCUGAACCAGCCAUGCCGCGUGCAGGAUGACGGUCCUAUGGAUUGUAAACUGCUUUUGUACAGGAAGAAACACUGGUUCGUGAACCAGCUUGACGGUACUGUAAGAAUAAGGAUCGGCUAACUCCGUGCCAGCAGCCGCGGUAAUACGGAGGAUCCGAGCGUUAUCCGGAAUCAUUGGGUUUAAAGGGUCCGUAGGCGGUCAGAUAAGUCAGUGGUGAAAGCCCAUCGCUCAACGGUGGAACGGCCAUUGAUACUGUCUGACUUGAAUUAUUAGGAAGUAACUAGAAUAUGUAGUGUAGCGGUGAAAUGCUUAGAGAUUACAUGGAAUACCAAUUGCGAAGGCAGGUUACUACUAAUGGAUUGACGCUGAUGGACGAAAGCGUGGGUAGCGAACAGGAUUAGAUACCCUGGUAGUCC
rnacentral:rRNA from 1 species